GAUGAGCGCUGGCGGCGUGCCUAAUACAUGCAAGUCGAGCGAACAGACGAGGAGCUUGCUCCUCUGACGUUAGCGGCGGACGGGUGAGUAACACGUGGAUAACCUACCUAUAAGACUGGGAUAACUUCGGGAAACCGGAGCUAAUACCGGAUAAUAUAUUGAACCGCAUGGUUCAAUAGUGAAAGACGGUUUUGCUGUCACUUAUAGAUGGAUCCGCGCCGCAUUAGCUAGUUGGUAAGGUAACGGCCUACCAAGGCAACGAUGCGUAGCCGACCUGAGAGGGUGAUCGGCCACACUGGAACUGAGACACGGUCCAGACUCCUACGGGAGGCAGCAGUAGGGAAUCUUCCGCAAUGGGCGAAAGCCUGACGGAGCAACGCCGCGUGAGUGAUGAAGGUCUUCGGAUCGUAAAACUCUGUUAUUAGGGAAGAACAAAUGUGUAAGUAACUAUGCACGUCUUGACGGUACCUAAUCAGAAAGCCACGGCUAACUACGUG
rnacentral:rRNA from 1 species